UACGAAGGGGGCUAGCGUUGCUCGGAAUCACUGGGCGUAAAGCGCACGUAGGCGGAUCGCUAAGUCAGGGGUGAAAUCCUGGAGCUCAACUCCAGAACUGCCUUUGAUACUGGCAAUCUCGAGUCCGGGAGAGGUGAGUGGAACUGCGAGUGUAGAGGUGAAAUUCGUAGAUAUUCGCAAGAACACCGGUGGCGAAGGCGGGUCUCUGGGCCGUAACUGACGCUGAGGAGCGAAAGCGUGGGGAGCGAACAGG
rnacentral:rRNA from 1 species